rnacentral:rRNA from 1 species
UGGGGAAUAUUGGACAAUGGGCGCAAGCCUGAUCCAGCCAUGCCGCGUGAGUGAUGAAGGCCCUAGGGUUGUAAAGCUCUUUCACCGGUGAAGAUAAUGACGGUAACCGGAGAAGAAGCCUCGGCUAACUUCGUGCCAGCAGCCGCGGUAAUACGAAGGGGGCUAGCGUUGUUCGGAUUUACUGGGCGUAAAGCGCACGUAGGCGGACUAUUAAGUCAGGGGUGAAAUCCCGGGGCUCAACCCCGGAACUGCCUUUGAUUCUGGUAGUCUUGAGUUCGAGAGAGGUGAGUGGAAUUCCGAGUGUAGAGGUGAAAUUCGUAGAUAUUCGGAGGAACACCAGUGGCGAAGGCGGCUCACUGGCUCGAUACUGACGCUGAGGUGCGAAAGCGUGGGGAGCAAACAGG